rnacentral:misc_RNA from 1 species
GAAAUGCGAUAAGUUGUGUGAAUUGCAGAAUUCAGUGAAUCAUCGAAUCUUUGAACGCACAUUGCGCCCCUUGGUAUUCCAUGGGGCAUGCCUGUUCGAGCGUCAUUUGUACCCUCAAGCUCUGCUUGGUGUUGGGUGUUUGUCCCGUCUCCGCGCGUGGACUCGCCCCAAAGUGAUUGGCAGCCGGCGUACUGGUCCCGGAGCGCAGCACAUGUCGCGCAAACGAGUGCCUUGGUACGGCGGCGUCCAUAAGCCCCUCUCUCACGCUCUUGACCUCGGAUCAGGUAGGGAUACCCGCUGAACUUAAGC